UUCCGAGUCUUUAAUCGUUUCUGCUGCUCUCUACAGAAUCCCUUUCAACUGCUUAAGUCCUGGUGUGUCACCUCUUCAGAGGGGUUGCACGGACCAUCUGAAAAGCUGGGCAGCCGAAGAUGUUGCAGCAUAGAGUGUAGGCCUUCUUCCGUCAGAUUGUGACCACAUCGACUUCCGUUCCUACAACAGGGCCUUGCGAGCUGAGAUGCUGGUGGGAAUCACCUGAAGGCCACCUGGACAGCCCCUCGAGCACCUGGCUGCUGCAUGUGCUGUGGCCUGGGCUUCGGUGUGUUUGCAAAGCUCCCCAGGUGAACAUAAUGUGCACCCAGGGUGAAACCGCAGCCGUGAACAUCUCCUAGGCAGCUCCCCACACACAUGCUUGUAGAAUCCCUGCACUCCCUGGGCUGACCCUUGUACCUCCUCUGACCAUUUAGUUAGAUUUCAUGGUCAUGAUUAAAUCUGUUCCUAUUCUCUA